rnacentral:lncRNA from 1 species
UUUAUUCUUUUUUGCCUUAAAACUAAGAAGAAACCCCCACCAAACUACAUUUAAUCCUUUCAAUGUUCCCUCGCCUCUUUCCAGGUUGUAAUGUGCUAAAUGGAAAUACAUAAAUGCUAAGAAUACCCAAGUCAUCUAUUCUGAUAACCUGGUUGGAGAAAGAGGCUCUAUAGAAAUGCUUCAUUCAUUGAUAUGAAUUACAUCAUUCUGUAAAUGCCAUGCAAACAGUGGUGGGCCAGACUGGAAAUGGAGCCUUACUGGCUUUUAGGUCUCUCUGAAACACAGUGCUAACUGUACUGGCAUUUUUCCACAGUCUGCAUCUUUCAAUCAGGACUAAAUUCAAAACUAAAAUUCCAACAGCCUACCUUUCGAGUCUCCUGAUAAAGUGAAACUGACCUUUUAUAUCUAUGGCCCGUCUGAAUUUUGAUGUAACAGUUCUUUUUCUGUAGAUAAACCAGAUUUAAAUCUGAUAGAUUUGGCCCUGCAACACUUAUUUCAUACCAGCUCAGAAUACAGUUAGCAACAUUGAACUCCAUGUUGCUUCCCAUCAACUUCAGGUGCAAUCGGAAGAUUUCCAGCUGGCAACACAGAGAUGGACUGUCUAGAAAGCAAUGCUUAUAGGUGUUUCCCACAGGUUCAGUGUUUCAUUUUGUACAAUGCAGACUAGAACUUACUUCUGGCAAGACUGUAACAUUGAGGCAUACAAUCUGUCACUAGACACUGAAGAGCUUAGCACCUUCCAAAACUGCUCCUAACCCAUGCAGUUUGGCAUUUGAAAGUGCACGCUCAAGAUGUGGCAUUUACUAUGGAAAUUGACUGCAUCUCCCCCCACCCCCUUUCAUUUUAUAAUGACUAGAAAAUAAAUUUAAGUCCCUAAUAGUCUAGAUUAAGUGCAAGUACACCGAUGUUCAUGGUCAGAGCUCCACUGAUGUUUACAGGAUGUUAUAAAUAUAAAUAUAAAUAUAAAUAUAAAUAUUCAUUACAAUCUGAACACAGGAACAGUAUCUUGAAUUGGUU